AAUAUGAGCACUAACACUCACUCUCACUACCAGACUGGCAUCGUAGCAUCUCAUAUUUCUGCAUGACCAUUUUGAAAGACUGAAACUAUGAUCUUAAACUCAAAGUGUAUAUAUUAUUAUUAUUUCAUGUCUGUCUUUAUUCACUGCAAUUGAGUAUACCAUUAACACAUUGUCCACCUUUUAAUGUCUUCCUUCCUUCCUUCCUCUCCAGCCAAUCUAUUGCACUGCCACCUGAUGCUUACAAUAGAGAGAGAGUGACUGACAGAUCAAGUGAUAUUGAAGAUGAUGACUCAUUUAGUGAUAAAUUCAAAAGAGUGUUUGCCAAGACCUAUAAAUGGUCACCAACUCGAGACACUGAAGUGAG